GACGAACCGAGCGAACGUUAUUCGGAAUCACUGGGCUUAAAGGGCGCGUAGGCGGGCAGGAAAGUCAGGGGUGAAAGCCCACGGCUCAACCGUGGAAGUGCCUCUGAUACUUCCAGCCUCGAGGGAGGUAGGGGCGUGCGGAACUUCCGGUGGAGCGGUGAAAUGCGUAGAUAUCGGAAGGAACGUCGGUGGCGAAAGCGGCGCGCUGGACCUCUUCUGACGCUGAGGCGCGAAAGCCAGGGGAGCGAACGGG
rnacentral:rRNA from 1 species